AUAAAAGUUAAUUUUUGGUAAAAAGCUACGACGACUUUGGCCCCGUUCUGGAAAAAUCACAAGUUUCGGAUCGGGCUCGAAAUCUGCUCUCCAGCCACCGCGGUUGCGGACGCCGUGCAAGGUGGAUUGCUUGGCUAAUGCAUACCUCGAUCCGUGCAGAGUCAUACAGAAAAUCAGAUCAAAGUUAGGAUCGCUGAAAAGGAUAGUCAGAUGUUGCCAGCACAGAGAGAUUCUCCUUUCAAGGCACUGUUUUCUGGACGCAUGCGCAGCUUAUUGUUUGUGCGACUGGUUUGUCAUCAGGGGGUUCUUGUUGAGCUCUGUCUUGUGUGUGUGCUUUACUUCUUUCUCACUUUAAGACUAUUAGACUUAUUGGUCCACGGAGGAGCAACAGUAAAAUAAAAAAUCAAAUACAAACUUCCUUAGCUGAUCAACAUACAUAUGGUUAAGUCGUGCUGCUGAAGCUUGUGCAAGAGGUCUCUGAGAUCUUUGAUAAUGCUCAACUCAGAAAAACCUGUCACCGAUGAGUUGACUGCCUGAACAAAUCCAUGCAGCUUGACUCUACAAGCAGACCUCUGCACUGAAAUUAUGUCGGUCUGAGAAUGAAAACUGAGAGUCUAAAAACUCUGGACAGUGUCCUGCUUGAGAUUGGGUUCGAUUGAAUGAAUGCAACAUCGGCAUUCAACUUGAUGUAUUCUUUUCUUUCCGGCUGCAGACUUCGUGCUAUUGAUAAGGAUGUGGGAUUGCUGGCACGGUAGUUCGCCCACCAUUUAUUGACAAAGCAAACAUUUCAGGGGCCAGUUUAGUGGCUGAUCAUACUGUUAAAUUAAGGCAAUAUGAACAAAUGUUCUUAGCCAUUUGGAGAAAUCCAUCAACACGUUUUGAAUUGGUUUUAUUAGCGAAAAGGUGUUUUCGAGA